GAGGGAUGGAAGGAGGGGUGGAGAGGUAGAGAGAGGGAUGGAAGGAGGGGUGGAGAGGUAGAGAGAGGGAUGGAAGGAGGGGUGGAGAGGUAGAGAGAGGGAUGGAAGGAGGGGUGGAGAGGUAGAGAGAGGGAUGGAAGGAGGGGUGGAGAGGUAGAGAGAGGGAUGGAAGGAGGGGUGGAGAGGUAGAGAGAGGGAGGGGUGGAGAGGUAGAGAGAAUGAUGUUAUAUUGUUUCAACACAAACCUCCCUCCCCUGUUAUAAUGAACCUUAUUGUACACACACACACACACACACACACACACACACACACACACACACGUUUGCGUCUCUCCCCCACUGUGCAGUCUAUAUGACCCUGACGCCAGCGA
ensembl:lncRNA